AGUCGAACGGUAACAGAAAGCAGCUUGCUGCUUUGCUGACGAGUGGCGGACGGGUGAGUAAUGUCUGGGAAACUGCCUGAUGGAGGGGGAUAACUACUGGAAACGGUAGCUAAUACCGCAUAACGUCGCAAGACCAAAGAGGGGGACCUUCGGGCCUCUUGCCAUCGGAUGUGCCCAGAUGGGAUUAGCCUGUUGGUGGGGUAACGGCUCACCAAGGCGACGAUCCCUAGCUGGUCUGAGAGGAUGACCAGCCACACUGGAACUGAGACACGGUCCAGACUCCUACGGGAGGCAGCAGUGGGGAAUAUUGCACAAUGGGCGCAAGCCUGAUGUAGCCAUGCCGCGUGUAUGAAGAAGGCCUUCGGGUUGUAAAGUACUUUCAGCGGGGAGGAAGGGAGUAAAGUUAAUACCUUUGCUCAUUGACGUUACCCGCAGAAGAAGCACCGGCUAACUCCGUGCCAGCAGCCGCGGUAAUACGGAGGGUGCAAGCGUUAAUCGGAAUUACUGGGCGUAAAGCGCACGCAGGCGGUUUGUUAAGUCAGAUGUGAAAUCCCCGGGCUCAACCUGGGAACUGCAUCUGAUACUGGCAAGCUUGAGUCUCGUAGAGGGGGGUAGAAUUCCAGGUGUAGCGGUGAAAUGCGUAGCGACUCUGGAGGAAUACCGGUGGCGAAGGCG
rnacentral:rRNA from 1 species